CCACGGGGGGCUGCAGUGGGGAAUAUUGGACAAUGGGCGAAAGCCUGAUCCAGCCAUGCCGCGUGUGUGAAGAAGGCCUUCGGGUUGUAAAGCACUUUCAGUGGGGAAGAAAGCCUUGGGGCUAAUACCCUCGAGGAAGGACAUCACCCACAGAAGAAGCACCGGCUAACUCCGUGCCAGCAGCCGCGGUAAUACGGAGGGUGCGAGCGUUAAUCGGAAUUACUGGGCGUAAAGCGCGCGUAGGCGGUCUGAUAAGCCGGUUGUGAAAGCCCCGGGCUCAACCUGGGAACGGCAUCCGGAACUGUCAGGCUAGAGUGCAGGAGAGGAAGGUAGAAUUCCCGGUGUAGCGGUGAAAUGCGUAGAGAUCGGGAGGAAUACCAGUGGCGAAGGCGGCCUUCUGGACUGACACUGACGCUGAGGUGCGAAAGCGUGGGUAGCAAACAGGAUUAGAUACCCCGGUAGUC
rnacentral:rRNA from 1 species